GCCUGUGUGGCGCAAUGGUUAGCGCGCAAGACUUCUACGGUGCUUGUGUUCCGGGUGAUAUCUUGAGGCUGCGGGUUCGAGUCCCGCCACGGGUU
rfam:Botryobasidium botryosum FD-172 SS1 unplaced genomic scaffold BOTBOscaffold_78, whole genome shotgun sequence.